AGCGGCGGAUGGGUGAGUAACACGUGGGGAACCUGCCCCUAAGUCUGGGAUACCAUUUGGAAACAGGUGCUAAUACCGGAUAAUAAAGCAGAUCGCAUGAUCAGCUUUUGAAAGGCGGCGUAAGCUGUCGCUAAGGGAUGGCCCCGCGGUGCAUUAGCUAGUUGGUAAGGUAUCGGCUUACCAAGGCGACGAUGCAUAGCCGAGUUGAGAGACUGAUCGGCCACAUUGGGACUGAGACACGGCCCAAACUCCUACGGGAGGCAGCAGUAGGGAAUCUUCCACAAUGGACGCAAGUCUGAUGGAGCAACGCCGCGUGAGUGAAGAAGGUUUUCGGAUCGUAAAGCUCUGUUGUUGGUGAAGAAGGAUAGAGGUAGUAACUGGCCUUUAUUUGACGGUAAUCAACCAGAAAGUCACGGCUAACUACGUGCCAGCAGCCGCGGUAAUACGUAGGUGGCAAGCGUUGUCCGGAUUUAUUGGGCGUAAGGCGAGCGCAGGCGGAAAAAUAAGUCUAAUGUGAAAGCCCUCGGCUUAACCGAGGAACUGCAUCGGAAACUGUUUUUCUUGAGUGCAGAAGAGGAGAGUGGAACUCCAUGUGUAGCGGUGGAAUGCGUAGAUAUAUGGAAGAACACCAGUGGCGAAGGCGGCUCUCUGGUCUGCAACUGACGCUGAGGCUCGAAAGCAUGGGUAGCGAACAGGAUUAGAUACCCUGGUAGUCCAUGCCGUAAACGAUGAGUGCUAAGUGU
rnacentral:rRNA from 1 species